rnacentral:rRNA from 1 species
AGGUAUGCUUUAGGAGGGGCUUGCGCCAUAUUAGUUAGUUGGUAGGGUAAUGGCCUACCAAGACGAUGAUGUGUAGCUGGACUGAGAGGUUGAACAGCCACAUUGGGACUGAGACACGGCCCAAACUCCUACGGGAGGCAGCAGUAGGGAAUUUUCGGCAAUGGAGGAAACUCUGACCGAGCAACGCCGCGUGAAUGACGAAGUACUUCGGUAUGUAAAGUUCUUUUAUCAAGGAAGAAAAGCAAAUGGCGAACCAUUUGUUUGCCGGUACUUGAUGAAUAAGCCCCGGCUAAUUAUGUGCCAGCAGCCGCGGUAAGACAUAAGGGGCAAGUGUUAUCCGGAAUUAUUGGGCGUAAAGGGUGCGUAGGCGGUCUAGUAAGUCAGUGGUGUAAUGGCAACGCUUAACGUUGUCCGGCUAUUGAAACUGCUAAACUUGAGUUAGAUAGAGGCGAGUGGAAUUCCAUGUGUAGCGGUAAAAUGCGUAAAUAUAUGGAGGAACACCAGAGGCGUAGGCGGCUCGCUGGGUCUUAACUGACGCUGAGGCACGAAAGCGUGGGGAGCAAACAGGAUUAGAUACCCUGGUAGUCCACGCCGUAAACGAUGAGUACUAAGUGUCGGGUUAAACCGGUACUGAAGUUAACACAUUAAGUACUCCGCCUGAGUAGUACGUACGCAAGUAUGAAACUUAAAGGAAUUGACGGGACUCCGCACAAGCGGUGGAUCAUGUUGUUUAAUUCGAAGAUACCCGAAAAACCUUACCAGGUCUUGACAUGUUUUUGCAAAAUGAUAGUAAUAUCGUGGAGGUUACCAGAAACACAGGUGGUGCAUGGUUGUCGUCAGCUCGUGUCGUGAGAUGUUAGGUUAAGUCCUAAAACGAGCGAAACCCUUAUCGUUAGUUGCCAGCACGUUAUGGUGGGGACUUUAACGAGACUGCCAAUGAUAAAUUGGAGGAAGGUGAGGAUCACGUCAAAUCAGCAUGCCCCUUAUGACCUGGGCUACAAACGUGAUACAAUGGCUGUUACAAAGGGUAGCUGAAACGCAAGUUCUUGGCCAAUCCCCAAAAACAGUCCCAGUCCGGAUUGAAGUCUGCAACUCGACUUCAUGAAGUGGAAUCGCUA